UAAGACUGGAGCUAUUUAUUUGUGC
rnacentral:misc_RNA from 1 species